GUUGAACGCUGGCGGCGUGCCUAAUACAUGCAAGUCGAGCGAAAAGACGAGGGGUUUGCUCCUCUGACGUUAGCCGCGGAGGGGUGUGUAACAUGUGGAUAACUCCCCUAUAAGGCUGUGGUACCUUCGGAACAGCGGUGCUAAUACAGACGAAUAUAUUGAGACGCAUGGUUAACUAGUGACAGACGGUUUUGCUGUUGCUUGUAGAUGGAUCCGCGCCGCAUUAGCUAGUUGGUAAGGUAACGGCUUACCAAGGCGACGAUGCGUAGCCGACCUGAGAGGGUGAUCAGCCACACUGGAACUGAGACACGGUCCAGACUCCUACGGGAGGCAGCAGUAGGGAAUCUUCCGCAAUGGGCGAAAGCUUGACGGAGCAACGCCGCGUGAGUGAUGAAGGUCUUCGGAUCGUAAAACACUGUUAUUAGGGAAGAACAAAUGGGUAAGUAACUAGUCGCGGCUUGACGGUACCGAAUGAGAAAGCCACGGCUAACUACGUG
rnacentral:rRNA from 1 species